ACGACGCUGGCGGCGUGCCUAACACAUGCAAGUCGAGCGAGGAGAUCCUUCGGGAUGAUCCUAGCGGCGGACGGGUGAGUAACACGUGGGCAACCUGCCUCAUAGAGAGGAAUAGCCUUCCGAAAGGGAGAUUAAUACCUCAUAACAUUGCAGUUUCGCAUGGAACAGCAAUUAAAGGAGCAAUCCGCUAUGAGAUGGGCCCGCGGCGCAUUAGCUAGUUGGUGAGGUAACGGCUCACCAAGGCGACGAUGCGUAGCCGACCUGAGAGGGUGAUCGGCCACAUUGGGACUGAGACACGGCCCAGACUCCUACGGGAGGCAGCAGUGGGGAAUAUUGCACAAUGGGGGAAACCCUGAUGCAAGCAACGCCGCGUGAGUGAUGACGGCCUUCGGGUUGUAAAGCUCUGUCUUCAGGGACGAUAAUGACGGUACCUGAGGAGGAAGCCACGGCUAACUACGUGCCAGCCGCAGC
rnacentral:rRNA from 1 species